ensembl:lncRNA
AUGAGCUCUAGUGAUACAAAUAUGGCCCCAAGUCUAGUGAGGAAAAAUGGUGGAAUGCAUGCAGCAAAUGUGUAUAGAUCUGGCUCAUUUGGAUAUCAACAUAUUCUGAAAUCAGAAAGUUUACAACGCAAUGAACCCUAUUUCAGGGAAAAUAUUCCAACUAAUUAUAUGUCUAGAAGCUCAACUGUGAACCAAAUGAGGCACAAAAAUGAUGGAAACAUGCUGUUUGAUCAUUUACUUCAAAACAGUGGCCAGAAUCAAAAUGUGCUGAUGAAUACAUCUCCCUCAAUUGUAAGAGCAAAUCAUCAAGAGAGCAAACCAUUACCACAUGCUUUUUCUGCUAGGACUGGAGUCAUUUCUCAAAUUUCCUACGCAAAUACAAGGGAUGCAGCUCUUUCCAAGGUGUACAAACCUCCAACAAUCCCAACAUCAGUAUCUCCUGGCUUUUCGGGAUCAAAUUCAAAUAGAGGUCAUAGCAUCCUUCCAUUAAAAAAAUCUUUCAUGUUUUCUUCUCAACAUGAUCAUGUCAAGCUGUCUGAUUCUGAAAGGGUUGCCAGUCCCAAUACAAAAUCAGCCAUGAGCAGCUACACUUUCAAGGACAUUCAGUUGACCUCUACACAAAAUGAUUACCAAAAUAGGGGACAAAGUAGUCAGAAUCUUGUGCCCGUUCAAACAUUUCACAGUCAAAAGAAGUAUGAUAAUUUGGCUACAGGUAUAUCUGCCUUUAGGCCUUCACUGACCAAUAAUGCCCGGUCUUACUUUCUACCAAAUGAGAACAGUGGCAUCCAGAUGUCUUCGCUACUUGACCGAUCAAAACAAAACACAGACUUGACCCCACAAAUGCAGUUUGCAAAAAACACCAUGUUAUUUUCAGAAUAUGCUAAAAAUAUGAACCUACUAUACCCAAAAAGUCAUUCAUUAAAGAAGCCAAGUCAGCAUAACAUCAGAAAUUGGACAGAUCUGAAUUCCUUCGGUCAAAGUGCAGUGCAAUCAUCAUUCGUUAAAAAUUAUCCUGCGCCAAGUCUGCUGACUGGUAACACAAUAGAGAGCGUCCACAGCAUUAGUCCAUAUGUGUCUGGCACUCAAGGCACAUCAGAAAAUUCAGGUCAAAACAGACCAUAUUAUCUAACUUCUAAAAAGCCAUAUGCUUUUAAAGGUUUCACAUUUGUCCCUACAUUUCAGACAUUUCUACAAAAAACAGAAAUGUACUCUGGCCAAAAACCUCUCUCAAACUCGGUGCAAUAUGCCCCUGCUCGUCCACAUACCACCCUAAGUGCACUCGCUCAAAAGCCCUUGGUGCGUAAGAGCUACCAGAAAACACUUUUUCAGUUCAAGGACAUUGAAACAAGCCAAGAAAAACAAAUUUAUCUGGAUCAGACAGAUUCUUUUGAUAAUGGACCCCAGCAUGAAACAGUCUCUUCUACUGUAGGUGCAAGUAACCCGAUGUCUAAUGCUCCAAAGCACCAUGUUGUUAAAGGUCAAGCUGUAGUGAUGAAAACAUCUCUGAGCAGCAUGAAUACUUCAGCGAGCCUUACAAAUAAUGGAGCUGUUUCCCUUCAGAACCACCCUAAAAUAGGGUACGGUGGGUUGACAGUUGAUGAAGUUCAGUCAAAAACAUCUCAGAGGUGGACUUCAAGUAGGCCUGCUUCAGCACAGUACAUUGAAUCUAACCAAGGUGAAAUUCCGACAGUGAAAUCCUCAAACACCAGGUUUGUUGGACCCAACUCAUACAACACAUCCAUAAAAUCUAAAAACAGUCAUGAGAAUCCCACAUCUGAGCUCAAGUCUUCUCUUAUGAACAAAGUGAGUGGCUAUCCUCAAAUACACAAUGCUGUUAUCCAGCCACUUCGCAGGUAUAGCAUGAAGGAACAUGAACGUCUGUUGAAUCCUACAAAGGAAACUAAAGACGGAAACACUGCUGGAAUAACACAGUCAAAUAUUACUGACUAUUACAGUCCCAUAAGAUUGAGACCAACAAGCAGCACUGUGAUUAGUAGGUGGGUGGAAGUGACUCCAGAAGGAAAGAGAUCUGAUGACAAUUCAAACCACCAGAAUGUCUAUGCCAUCCCAACCUACCAAUCUGCAAUAUAUAGAGCUGCUGACAUUAAUAAACAUAAAACUAAUAGCUCUGCAAAGCUCACUUACCAGUCACCUAUACACAGAUCUUCUAUAAAAACUUCUGGCAAAACUAACGUCAUGCAAGCCCAGGGAUCAAGACCCACAAGCAGCUUUGUAGUCGGAAGGUACAUUAAUACAUUUGAUAAAACCUCAACCAAGUCAAACCUCAACAUGCCUUCUACAAAAACAGGCCUACACAAUUAUAAACCAGUUCGGUUUUCAGAUAUAGCGGGUAGCGCCUCCUUCAAUAACGCUGCUGACACCACGGCGAAGAAAAAAGUGGAUCCUGAAAGUGACCAGUACCGCUCCAAUUCAACAUCAGUGAUGGAGGAAAGUUUUAAAGAGCUGCUUUUUAACACUUCAUCUAUGAUCUCAGCCUCACAAAAUGAAACUGAUGAAAGUACAGUGGAUUUAACUGUCCUUGAGCUUAUGCCAACUGCUGCUACAGACUUCACCACAGAAUCCCAGCUGCCAUUUACAGAAGAAUAUACUCUACCUCAACCAACUGUCUAUUCCUCUUGGGAUCUUGGCAAUCUUACUACACCUACAGCAGAGGGUACCGAUCCACUUUUUGAGGGAACAUUGAUACCCAAUACAACUUUGCUGGUCAAACUGACAUCAGAUUGA